AAAAAGAUAAGCUAAACUUUUAAGCUAUUGGGCCCAUAACCCAAUUAUGAUAAUAUCUCUUUUUA
rnacentral:tRNA from 1 species